AUAGAAUGUUGUGAAAUACCAGAAACGUGCUCCAUUUCAAUCGAUCGAUUUGCGUUUAACUUGUCUGAUGUCUCUGACGAUUUUGUGAUUGCUUUAUUUAAUUCGUAGGAUGUAAAGUACUAAUAAGUAUGAAGUUUGUGAUUUGUGCGGUUCAUUUCCAAUAUAUAUCAGAAAAUAUUAAAGUUGUGGUUUGAUAUUUUACUGUUUAUACUCACGAAACCAUGGAUUGGAUAAUUUCGGAUGAGUUAGGGGUAACUGUGGGUCAUGUAGUUGGCUGGGGAGCAGCUGGUGCUAUGAUAGUAGGUGGCGUUGCCCCAUACAUACCCCAGUACAUACAAAUCAAGAAGACACAAGAUGCCGAAGGGUUCUCUUUAUAUGUUUGUUUAGCUCUGCUGAUAGCAAAUACUUUAAGGAUAUUGUUUUGGUUUGGUAAACGCUAUGAGCUACCUUUAUUGAUCCAAAGUAUAGUAAUGAAUUGCACAAUGUUUGUCAUGAUACAUUUGUGUGUAAAUGUACGAAAAAAGAACCAAAUUAUAAGGGCAAGGGAGAGAAUAUUUACAGGUGCAAUAUUCAUGUUAUAUAUACUGUUGUGUUGUGUGAACGGCUCAGCCCAGCCUGAUCAAACGGCACGCUGGCUGGACCAGCGUAGCGGCAUCGCCGGCGGGGAGAAGCCCCAUCGCUUCUAUGAUAUGGAAAGGAAAUAUUUUUGGGCCUGGACUGACUUCCAGAGCUAUGUAGACUGUAUGUUGGUAUUCUCGGUGCUGGGCGCCGCGAUCACCUAUUUGUUGAUAGAGUUCUCGCCUUUCGUGGAACUUAUUGGGUUCCUCGCUCUCUUCACAGAGGCUAUGCUUGGCGCUCCUCAGAUAGCCAGAAAUCACAAAAAUAAAAGUACAGAAGGCAUGAGCGUCAGCAUGGUGAUAAUGUGGACGUGUGGAGACGUAUUCAAGACUACAUACUUCGUCUUGAGGGAAGCGCCUCCUCAGUUUUGGUUGUGUGGAAGCCUACAGGUCUCAUUAGAUGUCGUCAUACUCUUUCAAAUGGUCAGGUGAUGACACUCUGACGAUAUCGGUUCGCAUGUGGGUGCCCAGCCUUCCGAUAUUCAGUCCUCGCUUUAACACCGGGUAACCUACCUGUAAGGGGUGUGGCUGUAUCGCCACAAAACGGCGGCGGCGAGGCGGAUGCGUCGGGGCGAUUAGCAAUGGACGGAGACUGACUUAUAGCACCCGCCGGCCGCGGCUCGGUCGCCUAACGCGAUCAGCGCUUCCAUAGUUUUCAUCGCGUUGUGUGCACCUUACACGGUACAAUUCAUUUGCCUUCCCUACAUAUUAUGACGAUUUUGCUGUGGGUUGUGUGAAAAAUGAAGUUGCUGACUAUCUUUAUCUUAAAUACGACAGUUUUGAAACGUAUUUAGCCCUAAAGAUGACCAAAUUACUUGUGGUGCAAGAGAAAAUGACUGUUAACGAAAUCUGUUGUUCGAAAAUUGACAUGUUUAUUAUUUUCUAGUGGUUGCAAUAAUUCCCUAGGUAGACGGUGCUAUAGGUUUGUGCCUAAAUGAAUAUCAACGAGGUUCAUGAAAAGAAGUUCUAGUGAUGACGUUUGAUGUAUUGUUAUUAUUAAAUAAGGUGGAAAUAAUCAUCGUCAUUAGAAUAUAUAAAGUUUAGAAUGACCAAAAAGUUUUCCUGUCUUUUUAAAGUGAAUUUACUAGUCCAAAUAGACGCAUUGUAAGUCUAAAAAUGCUUGAUAGGGGGUAGAAAAUACAUGGAAUUGUUGUCCACGCUGAUAUCAAAUAAUGAAAUUUUUAUUCUUAUCUACGAAAUUACAAACACAAUGUACAAGCAGGCAUUUUUAGCGUGGCGCUACGGGUUGUCAACAACAGCAAUAAUUCUUAGUUUGUUGCUGUGUAUAGAGAAGUACAAUAUUAAUAAUGUUAUUUUUUAAAUGUGACUAUAAAAUUGCUUUUAGAGAACGUGAGUCUUAUAACUUGAAGUACAUGUUAUUGUUAUAAAACAAUUAAAACUGUGCCCCAAAAACCGUACUGUGGGGUUCAACUAUGAUAUGUGUAUACUUGUAAAUAUUAUAGUUGUAAUUGUUUAUUCCAAGAAAUCUUGCAAUCAGUUACGCAUUUCAUAGCUGUACGAGUUAUGAGGUACAAUAGUGAUUAAGUUCUUAAAAUGCCAAUUUAGAUAAAAUUACAUAAUUAUACAGAUUAGUAUAUGUACGAUAUUUUUAACGCAUUAGUCAAAUAUUAUGUAUUUAUGAAAUUUACUAAUGUACAUCAAAAUAUGGACAGUCUGACGAAUCAGUAGUUCUGAGUUCGAACUCCCGCAUGCGAUGGUACCUGGAAAGAGGCUUAUGCUGGGUACCGCUUUGAAAUAAAAUACGGAAGAUUUAACUAUUGACCCGUUAAAUGAUAGUACAUAAAACUUAACAAGUAUUGAUAAAAAUAAUGUUUCUUUUUGUAAUAAAGUAGGUUGAGUACUUUGCCUCAUCAAUGAGUACAUCUACAAUUCCUGCUUUGAUAUUGAAGUAUUAUAAAAUAUUUACAUUCCUCGACAUUGACCUCUCGAUAUUUUAUUCCAUUUUACCUUUUUGGUACAUGUACACAAUAGUUUUGUGAUAAUCCGACUGCUUCUAAAAAACGUGUUCGAUCAAUAUCUUCUGAUAGUGCUUCUAAAUUCCUACUAUUUUGUAACGUUUUAAAAUAGCCAUGACGGUAAUUUUUCUUCCUAAAUUUUUUAGAGGUUCAGAUGCAUGUUUGGCUUUUGGUGUGUUUUUGUAUUACUAACAAUAAUGUUCUACAACUUAUUAUUAAAUUCAACUUUAUAAAAUUUAGAUCAUUUAGAAAAAUAUAGAUUUUUGAAAUAUAUGGCUAUUAUUUUCUAGAUAUUGUCUUGUACACUUGUACUAUUGCUUGAAAGGUUGUAUCUGAAAUGGAAUAUUAACUAAUUAUGUGUUUGUGUGUUAUUAUUAUAAUUAAUGAAAGUGGCAACUAUACAGAUGAAACUAUACUCUCAUUCAUUUGACUUUAACUAUGCAUAAUAGCUUUUAACGAAUGUAUUUUUAUGUAUUUAAAUAAUUAAGUAUUAUUAUCUACCCAAAUGUAUGUCUAAGUUUAAAUAGUCACCACCGUUAUGUACAAAUGUGUUAAUGUUUAGCAAAUGUAGGUAAAAUUAUAAGUGCAGAGAGGUAUUUUGGCAGCAUAGUUAGAUUUUUGAAUACACCAAUAUUUGAUGGGUGGUUUAUAAUUGUAAAAUCAAUCACUCUUUAUUCAAAGUCUGUGGAAAGCCCUAUGUAACAAUUACAUUUACUGCUUGCAUUAGCAAUAUUUAAGUCCCUAAGUCUGUUGUAAUAAAACAAAGAGUUUAAAUAAAAGAUUUAUUUUUCACUUACAUGUUUCGUAUUAUAUUUUCAUAUAUAAAUUUUUUCUCGUUGCGUUUAAGCCGACAGACAAUAAGUUGAGCCUGAGCAAGUAAUUUUCAGUCUCCAAACAUAGUUAUAUACUUAGCAUUAAAAUCUGAGGACUUUUCCAUUAGACAUUAUUUAUUGCAACUUAUUAUGGUUUCGAGAAAUAUAAAUAUAUAGUCAACUGUGACCUUAUGCCUGCGUAUUGCGUAUCGACAUUACAUUGUCUAAAUGAAUACAUCAUUCCAUUGCAACAUUGUCCAUGUUAGUAUUAAUAGAGACAUUUCACAGAUGUUUUGUAUCAUGUACCAUGGUUAUGUGACCCAAGUUGUGAAAACCUUCUUUUCGUGAGGUCUAUAUCUGUGUACGUUCAACUGGAAUACAUCGGUGGUUUCACAGUAAUACAUCGAUUCAAAAUUGUCUAUUGGGUUCCUCAACACAUGUUUACACAUAUGUGUUAACAUUUUGAUAAAUACAAUGCAAAUAAUACUGAUUAUUGUAAAUAUUAAAAUACAUAUUAUGUAUUUGUAAAACUGAUUUCUUAUUUGCAAUGCUUCCGCAAAUGGUUAUGAUUAAUACAAUUGUAUUUCAUGUACAUCUAAUUUCUAUUCAAUCAUUAUGUUGCGUCUUUUAGUUAGGGUAUUAAGUGGGAGUCACUUUAUAUUACAUGAUAUAUUAUUAUAAAUAAAUAUAAAAAUAUACAGUAUAUAAAUGUAUAAAUCUAUACACGAAGUCGAGAGAUAAGUAUAUAAAUGUGAUGGAACAUAUCAUAUUUAUAAUGAUAUACAUAUUAUAAUUUCUGUUGUAUGAAAAUAUAUGAAUAUAUUUGUCAAUUAAUAUUAAGUAGAUAUUGUAAAUGAAUGAAAUGUAAAGUAACCAUCGUAUGUUGUGAUGACAAAUGUACAUGUAAGUAUAUGUUGUGAUUUUAUGAGUUACAUUUUCGUAAAUGAAAUAAAGUUAUAUUAUUUGUUAAAAA
rnacentral:misc_RNA from 1 species